rnacentral:rRNA from 1 species
UCGCCUGUUUUAUCAAAAACAUCGCCUCUUGCUAACCUAAUAAGUAUAAGAGGUCCCGCCUGCCCUGUGACUAUAUGUUUAACGGCCGCGGUAUUUUGACCGUGCGAAGGUAGCGCAAUCACUUGUCUUUUAAAUGGGGACCUGUAUGAAUGGCAUAACGAGGGCUUGACUGUCUCCUCUUUCAAGUCAAUGAAAUUGAUCUCCCCGUGCAGAAGCGGGGAUAAACACAUAAGACGAGAAGACCCUAUGGAGCUUUAGACACUAAAGCAGAUCAGCAUUAAUUCCCUGAAUAUAGGGCACGAAUAUACUGAAACCCUGCCCUAAUGUCUUAGGUUGGGGCGACCGCGGAGAAAUAAAAAACCCCCGCAAGGACCGAAUGUACUACAUUCACAACCAAGAGCGACAGCUCUAAUUAACAGAUAUUUCUGACCAAUAAGAUCCGGCAACGCCGAUUAAUGAACCAAGUUACCCUAGGGAUAACAGCGCAAUCUCCUCUUAGAGCCCGUAUCAACGAGGAGGUUUACGACCUCGAUGUUGGAUCAGGACAUCCUAAUGGUGCAGCCGCUAUUAAGGGUUCGUUUGUUCAACGAUUAAAGUCCUACGUGAUCUGAGUUCAGACCGGA